rnacentral:misc_RNA from 1 species
UGUCAUCGCCGGAUUUUCCUUCGGUGCCCUGCUUGGCAUGGGAAGUGCACAUGGCAGGGAAGGCGAGGUACCAGAGUUUCUUGGACUCCCUGUAGAAUUCUCUGAAGAAAACGGGGAUGGUGUUGAUAGGAGGGAUAUCAUGGGCAUCAGGGACAGAAGAAUUAGGGUUUGUUGUUGAUAUGGCAAGUGAGUGUAGUUCGUCUUGAUCCUGGUGAUGGUAUAGGUUUCUGUCUUGGCUUGAAUCCUCCAUGUCGAAGAGAGGGAGAGAUGGUUUUCUUUUUC